rnacentral:lncRNA from 1 species
AGAAGCCAAAAAGGCCCAAGUCCACAAGACAGAAAGAAUAGGUGAAAAGUCCAUGUCAUCUCAUUUUUGGAGAUGGACAUGGACAGGGGCUGAAACUGCAGUACCAGCAGAUGGGGAGCUUAAGAAGGAAGCUAGUUCAUGGCACAGCACCCGUAAAGUCCCCAGAAUUGGAGGCACCAGAUUCUUCUGAAAGAAAAGGAGCAAUUCAGCACUUGUCAUGCAGAUAAGAGGUCAACACCCCAGGACGGAGUGAAAACCUAAGAUGAGGAAAUGGAAGAUGAGAGGCAGAGUAGGUUGCCUAAGGUGAUAAGAGGAUGAAAUAACGGCGCGAGAAGUCGAACCCACUCCAGAUCCGCCCAUGCAAGACACAAGAAGCCACAGGAGGAGGAAGGGGCAGGCGGGAACUUAGAGCACCUUGGCGUGCCCAGCCCGGCGCCUACUCCCUCUCCUCUGCGCCGCUGGAGGCCUCGAGUUCGUGUCCUCUCGGCGCCUGCCUGGCUCCCCUUCCGAGGCCGCAGCGCCCUGCCAUGCUGGCCUCCCCGCGCUCUCCCUGAGACCCAAGCCGACUCCCAGGCCGACCCCGCCGCCUGCGCCCAGCUGUGUCGGAUCUACCUGCCCGCGACCGAGGAGCUCAGGGACUGCCCCAGGAGAUGCUGCCUCGCCCGACAGGCGCCCCGGCCCCUGCCACGCCUCCCGCGCCUGGAAAGCACGACAUCCCGCAGGCAGCAUAUCUGAGCCUGCAUCGGCCUGCGGGAGUCCAGCCCGAGCCAUUUUCCUGCCUGUCCCCACUCCUGACAGCCUGUGCCCAGUUCCCCUCAGCUCUCCCAUGGUUCUCCAACGGUCCUUUCUGGGAACCCUUACAGCUUGGAGAUCGUCUCACGGUGACCAGGGUGUUUCUGAGUUGUGUGUGUGUGUGUGUGUGUGUGUGUGUGUGUGACCACUGGAAUGUCAGAAUCCCCCAUCCCUACCUUGGAAGUCCCGCUUUUUCCUCCCUACUGUUAAGGAACUUCAGACUGCCCCUCCACAAGGUUGCCUGCCUGGGCAGUCAUCCAACUCCAUGUCCACCGCAAGGACAGUGGGGACAGUGCACCAAGACACAAGGACCAGGCUGGACCCUAAGAUGCUCCGAACACCUGGGCAGCUGUUCCAGACACACCGUCCCAUUUUUCAGGAUGGCACCUGUUUCCUGUUAGAGAUUUCUUAAGGGAGAUUGUGAAUAAUCACCAGUGAUUUUAGUGGCAGCCAAGUGACACUGAAGCUUGGCAGAUGUCUGUCAAAACCAGCUACGGGACUGGACAGCGAGGACCAGGAGAAAAAUGUUUGUUUUUUUUAAAAGAUACUCUGGUAUUCGUAUGACAAGACCCAUUUUGUUAUGCCCAAGAACAAGGGGAGAACCUCAUCUUCGCCAUACUUGAGUCUGACUCAGUGUGGCUGUGACUCAUCCUUCUAGGACAGUUCCCCUGCCACAAUAGCGCAAAUGAUGGCCUGGGGACUAAAAUGACUUUGUCAAACAGUUGAAUGGAGAGAAAGUGGUAGAGUUGCCACCUAAUGCCAAGAACCCCCCCACCCCCGAGCUUUUCCUUUUUUUUUUUUUUUUGAGACUGAGUUUCGCUCUUGUUGCCCAGGCUAGAGUGCAAUGGCACGAUCUUGGCUCACUGCAACCUCCACCUCCCGGGUUCAAGCGAUUCUCCUGCCUCAGCCUCCCGAGUAGCUGAGAUUACAGGCAUGCGCCACAUGCCUGGCUAAUAUUUUUGUAUUUUUAGUAGAGACGGGGUUUCUCCAUGUUGGUCAGGCUGGUCUUGAACUCCCGACAUCAGGUGAUCCGCCUGCCUGGGUCUCCCAAAGUGCUGGGAUUACAGGCGUGAGCCUCCACGCCCGGCCAGCUUUUCCUUUUAAGCUGUUCUCUUUAAGUUCAUUGUAGCCAGGUUUCAUGGCGAGGCACCAUGAUUUAUACCACUGGCCCUGGAUCCCCUCACGUGUUUAUGUGACAAACUGGCACCUGUAUAUUAACAAGCUUUACAUUUGGCAAGACAUAGGUAACACCAGAAAUCAAAGUGAGGGGCUUCUGGCAGGAUUUCACAUCUGCUAGCUUUUAUAUUUGAUGCUUUCUCUAGGAGCUUGGCAAAAAGAAAACACCAACAUCAAAAGUAAAAAAAUCAAAUCAAAACAAAAAAAUCAAACCAAAAUAAAGAUAACAACAGGCGAGAACUGGGACACGAUCUUCUUAUAGUUGGCUUAUUACCUGUAUCUGUAGAAUUAUUUAUUUCCUUAAACCUGUUUCCUUUUGUACUUUAUGACAUUUCUGUGUAACUAAAGUAAGAAUCUGAGAGAACUCUAAACUGAUAUUUAUAGAUCCUACCCUCAAAA